GGGUGUAAAGAGAUAUUAUUGAUGGCUUUGUAGGCGAUGUCACAGGCGUGGAUAUUAAAAGUUUUGUCGACACUGGAAGAUUAAGUUCGGAUUCACGUAUAGUACAGGCAUAUAAUCAGUCUCUCUCCGAAGAGUUCAUGAAUCUCAUACGAAAUCGAAUGGUAGUACACCUAGAUGAAGACUAUCUAGAUAAGAAUUCUAUAAAUUAUGGCCAACACAUAGAAAUAUUACGAGGC
rnacentral:lncRNA from 1 species